rnacentral:rRNA from 1 species
UGCCCGGUGAGGAGAUUAAACGGCCGCGGUAUUUUGACCGUGCGAAGGUAGCAUAAUCAUUAGCUUUUUUAUUGUGAGCUGGUAUGAAAGGUUUCACGUGAGAGGGCCUGUCUCGGCUUAAACUGUGAAUUUAAAAUUUUUGUGAAGAUGCGAAAGUGUGCUUAAAAGACGAGAAGACCCUAUUAAGCUUUACACUACUUCUUUUGGAGGGGCUGAGAAGGGGGCUGUUUCGCUGGGGCGGCGGACAAAAACUUGUUGCGGCGGAAGGAUGCUUCUUCUAGAUGAUUUUUGACCCACUGUCGGGGUGGGAGACGGAGAAAGUUACUGUAGGGAUAACAGCGUAAUUAUAUUGGAGAGCACAUAUUGAUAAUAUAGUUUGCGACCUCGAUGUUGAAUUAGGAUCCCUUCCUGCCGCAAGAGGCAGGAAAGGCAGUCUGUUCGACUGUUAAACUCCUACA